ACAACACACAAUGUGUGUCGUUCACAAUGGCAAGCCGAACCAAACGAAUGGACACACGGACAGCAUUGCACAUGCUGUAGAAUUUAGAUGAGCUGGAAUCGGAUGGAGGAUCGGAUAUUGAGCUUGAGAUCAACGUUUCUGAUGAAGAUUAUUCAUCUGAUUCGAGACUCUGCCUCUGAUGCCUGAGCCUCGCCGCAGCAAAACCAGAACAGGGCCAACUGAGACGGUGAUCCUACCUGCCACAGUGAGACGAGUCUGGCAAAGAAAACUAGCCUGCGCGGAACAGUGAACAAACAGAGACUGGAGCUUCCGCCCUCUGCACAAAACAACAUACCAGCGGAGCUUUACUCCACAUCAGUGAUGGAGAGUGGUAAAAGCAACACUCACAGUGUACAGAUGGAAAAUAAACAAGAGUGUUUGCAACCCUCAGCACCAUGCAUCCCACCAGCAGUUACCAGAAGAAGACAUCGGAGACAGUGACAGACUACAAUCGCACAAAGCUUGGUGUGGAUGCACUCGACCAGAUGGCAAGACUGUACUCUGUAAAAGGAGGUACUUGCCGCUGGCCUGUUGCAGUGUCCUACAACGUGAUCGACGUGGCUGCUAUCAAUGCGCAUGUGUUGUUGUACAAGCAAUGCCUUGACAAGAUAGUCAGUAGAGACUUCAUCAUGGACCUGGCAUGUGAGCUUCGUGAGAACCACAUGAACGCCAAGAAAGCAGCUACAGCCGCCAAGGCAGCAGCGCGUCCUGCUCUCCCUUUUCCCUACGCACCAUAGCUCCCACUCGGGAAAAAGAGGACAAUGUCAAAUUACGUUGUUUAAAAAAAAAAAAUCUUGUCAUUGAUAUAUUUCCACAACUUUUUCUUUAUGUAAUUCAUCCUUUACAAUUGUUCAUGCACUGGUGGUUUUAUUUAGGAAUACAUCAAAUCACUUCACAUGAGCACCUGACUGUUUAUAUUAUUAUAUAUUUUUGUUUUCUACUUUGUCAGAGAAGCUGUAACUGGACUGUAAUACUUACUAUAACUAUUACUAAUCUACAAAUAAAGUUGCUCAAAUGUA